UGUUCAGUCCUUUCUCACUUCGUCCGCUCUUCGUUUCUGUUCUUGUAAUGGCAGCUUGUACUUCUACCAAAUUUUGCCCCCCAUCUUCCCAGCCCCCCCAGCACACCACCCUCGUCCUGCAUCUCCAGAUGCUGCCUCCGAGGCUGCGUGAUCCGAAGCCCGCAGCGAAGGAACCCGGUUUCUUCAUCUCUGCAGUGGAAGCAUGGUUCAUAAUGGCCGCAUGCGCAGUGAUACUUUAGCGGCCUACGGACCGCGCCUUUUAACCGCUGUUUUAGAUGAAGACUGUGGUAAGGAAGGAGACCGGAAGUUACGACUACCCUGAGAAGGGCCAGGUUACACUUGAGGUUCUUGGGAAGAAUCUGAGAAGACAGCCUGUCAGGCUCUGCUUAUUAAACUGUGGGCCAUGUAACCAGUGAAGCAGCCAUUAUAUGAUUGGUCUACAGUUGUUGGAAAAGUCACAAGAGGAUUGCCCUGAAAGCAGAAGGUUUUGCAGCCUUUGGAAUCAGAGGGGCAGUCAGAUCUUUGAGUUCAAGGCCAGCCUGGUCUACAUCAAGAAACCUCAUUCUGAAAAAGUGAAAUACUUUGUCACGUAACAUGCAGUUGAUUUAAUAAAGACUUUUGGAACUUGUC